rnacentral:rRNA from 1 species
UACGAAGGGGGCUAGCGUUGUUCGGAUUUACUGGGCGUAAAGCGCACGUAGGCGGAUCGUUAAGUCGGGGGUGAAAUCCUGGACUCAACUCCAGAACUGCCUUCGAUACUGGCGAUCUUGAGUCCGGGAGAGGUGAGUGGAACUGCGAGUGUAGAGGUGAAAUUCGUAGAUAUUCGCAAGAACACCAGUGGCGAAGGCGGCUCACUGGCCCGGUACUGACGCUGAGGUGCGAAAGCGUGGGGAGCAAACAGG